rnacentral:rRNA from 1 species
AUUGAACGCUGGCGGCAUGCUUUACACAUGCAAGUCGAACGGUAACAGGCCGCAAGGUGCUGACGAGUGGCGAACGGGUGAGUAAUGCAUCGGAACGUGCCCAGUCGUGGGGGAUAACGCAGCGAAAGCUGCGCUAAUACCGCAUACGAUCUCUGGAUGAAAGCGGGGGACCGAAAGGCCUCGCGCGAUUGGAGCGGCCGAUGUCAGAGUAGGUAGUUGGUGGGGUAAAGGCCCACCAAGCCAACGAUCUGUAGCUGGGUUGAGAGGACGACCAGCCAACCUGGGAGCGAGACCGGGCGCAGGCUCCUACGGGAGGCAGCAGUGGGGAAUUUUGGACAAUGGGCGCAAGCCUGAGCCAGCAAUGCCGCGUGCAGGAAGAAGGCCUUCGGGUUGUAAACUGCUUUUGUACGGAACGAAACGGUCCUGGUUAAUACCUGGGGCUAAUGACGGUACCGUAAGAAUAAGCACCGGCUAACUACGUGCCAGCCGCCGCGGUAACAC